CAGCCGCCGCGGUAAUACGAAGGGGGCUAGCGUUGCUCGGAAUCACUGGGCGUAAAGGGUGCGUAGGCGGGUCUUUAAGUCAGGGGUGAAAUCCUGGAGCUCAACUCCAGGACUGCCUUUGAUACUGAAGAUCUUGAGUUCGGGAGAGGUGAGUGGAACUGCGAGUGUAGAGGUGAAAUUCGUAGAUAUUCGCAAGAACACCAGUGGCGAAGGCGGCUCACUGGCCCGAUACUGACGCUGAGGCACGAAAGCGUGGGGAGCAAACAGGAUUAGAGACCCCAGUAGUCCCUGUCUCUUAUAC
rnacentral:rRNA from 1 species